CCACUGCUGAAGUGUCCCAAGCUAGGACGAAACAGCUGUUCAGUAC
rnacentral:hammerhead_ribozyme from 1 species